GACGAACGCUGGCGGCGUGCCUAAUACAUGCAAGUAGAACGCUGAAGAGAGGAGCUUGCUCUUCUUGGAUGAGUUGCGAACGGGUGAGUAACGCGUAGGUAACCUGCCUGGUAGCGGGGGAUAACUAUUGGAAACGAUAGCUAAUACCGCAUGACAUUGAUUAUCGCAUGAUAAUAAAUUGAAAGGUGCAAUUGCAUCACUACCAGAUGGACCUGCGUUGUAUUAGCUAGUUGGUGAGGUAACGGCUCACCAAGGCGACGAUACAUAGCCGACCUGAGAGGGUGAUCGGCCACACUGGGACUGAGACACGGCCCAGACUCCUACGGGAGGCAGCAGUAGGGAAUCUUCGGCAAUGGGGGGAACCCUGACCGAGCAACGCCGCGUGAGUGAAGAAGGUUUUCGGAUCGUAAAGCUCUGUUGUAAGAGAAGAACGGGUGUGAGAGUGGAAAGUUCACACUGUGACGGUAUCUUACCAGAAAGGGACGGCUAACUACGUGCCAGCAGCCGCGGUAAUACGUAGGUCCCGAGCGUUGUCCGGAUUUAUUGGGCGUAAAGCGAGCGCAGGCGGUUAGAUAAGUCUGAAGUUAAAGGCUGUGGCUUAACCAUAGUAUGCUUUGGAAACUGUUUAACUUGAGUGCAGAAGGGGAGAGUGGAAUUCCAUGUGUAGCGGUGAAAUGCGUAGAUAUAUGGAGGAACACCGGUGGCGAAAGCGGCUCUCUGGUCUGUAACUGACGCUGAGGCUCGAAAGCGUGGGGAGCAAACAGGAUUAGAUACCCCGGUAGUCCACGCCGUAAACGAUGAGUGCUAGGUGUUAGGCCCUUUCCGGGGCUUAGUGCCGCAGCUAACGCAUUAAGCACUCCGCCUGGGGAGUACGACCGCAAGGUUGAAACUCAAAGGAAUUGACGGGGGCCCGCACAAGCGGUGGAGCAUGUGGUUUAAUUCGAAGCAACGCGAAGAACCUUACCAGGUCUUGACAUCCCUCUGACCACUCUAGAGAUAGAGUUUUCCUUCGGGACAGAGGUGACAGGUGGUGCAUGGUUGUCGUCAGCUCGUGUCGUGAGAUGUUGGGUUAAGUCCCGCAACGAGCGCAACCCCUAUUGUUAGUUGCCAUCAUUGAGUUGGGCACUCUAGCGAGACUGCCGGUAAUAAACCGGAGGAAGGUGGGGAUGACGUCAAAUCAUCAUGCCCCUUAUGACCUGGGCUACACACGUGCUACAAUGGCUGGUACAACGAGUCGCAAGCCGGUGACGGCAAGCUAAUCUCUGAAAGCCAGUCUCAGUUCGGAUUGUAGGCUGCAACUCGCCUACAUGAAGUCGGAAUCGCUAGUAAUCGCGGAUCAGCACGCCGCGGUGAAUACGUUCCCGGGCCU
rnacentral:rRNA from 1 species